CCUCUCACCCCACGAACCCUAGCGCUCCCUCUCCCUCACGCGCUCCCUCUCCCCUCGUCUCCCACAUCGCCGCCGCCACCCCGCUGAUCCCACCCCUUCCUGAUUCAGAUCCGACCCCGCUGCCCGCGCCCGCGCUCCUCCUCGCCUCCCAGAGAACGUCCGCCGCUCUUCCUCCGCCCGUCCUGGAGGCCUCAGUCAGUGCCCUCCGCCGCAGGGCCGGCAGCGCCUACGCCCGUAGCUACCAGCCAACUACUUCGGCAACGCCAUCGCGCGGGACCUCGUGACGGUGCGCGUGGGGGACAUGCUGUCACAGCCGCUGGGGUUUGUGGCGGAGCGGAUCAAGCGCGCGGUGGCGCGGGUGGACGACGCGUUCGUGUGCUCGGUCAUCGACUACCUGGAGCUGGAGUCUAUUGGUACCCCCUUCGUCUCAAGUCCCUGGCCAUGGGGCUUCUCCAGCCGGCGCGUCCUCUCAGCGAGCAGAUCUUGCACCUCACGCCGAUGGUCUCCGUCGUCCUGGCGGAGGACUGCUACCUUCAGGGCCACUAUGGGUUUCUGAGUGUGCCUAUGGACCUCGUACCAACAAGGUCACCGUCUUUGGGCGAGGUGCUUCGCGAGGCUGGAAGAGGUUUUCUGCAUCUGUAUUUCCCGACGAGAUCUGCUUGGCCUUGCCAUGUAUCUUUGAUGAGACUGACCUCCGCUUCCAGAGCCAUGCAGUGCUGGCCCUUCAGGAGGCUGCAGAGGCCUACCUGGUGGGUCUCUUCGAGGACACCAACGUGUGCGCCAUCCAUGCCAAGCACGUGACCAUCAUGCCUAAGGACAUUCAGUUGGCUAGGAGGAUCCGUGGCGAGAGGGCUUAAGGUUGCGGAUUGGUGCUGCUGGCCUCAACAGGGCACCUUGCACUACCCGUGUAAGUGCGUUUGAGAAGGCAGUGAGGUUGUUCGUGGAAAAGCCGACGGAUAAUGUAAUCACUCCAGUGCUGGAAACAGUGAGGAUCACAAGGUGAAGAUGAGGUGCUGGUAUGGUCAUGGUAAGAGAUCCUCCUCCACGCCUCAUGGGAUGCAAUAUCAUGCUUGCUCUUGUGAAAUCGAUGAUGAUGCUCUGAAUGUUAUUUCUAUUGCCAUUGUGGAUUAGCUUCUGCCCCUCAAAUGCUAUUGGCAAGUUGCAUCCCUUGACUCCGUGGAUGAGUAGAAUUAUCAUGAGUAGUAUACAACCUGAGAUGUCUGAUUGUAUACAACCUGCACCUCAAAAUUGAUAUGUUCCCUGUUGUGUCUUUGAUUGAAAAGGAUUCUUCAUUAUAAACUCUUCUAUCUGUGAUAAGUGCAACUAGAAGAAUUUGUCACAUCUAAAAUUCUGUAAUCCCUAAUAGAUGAAACUUGAGCAUUACAAAGUUUCAUUUCUGUGGGGCACUACUGUCUAGAGCUUUGCUCCACUCUCAAUUUCUUUAGAAUUACAGAGAUCCAGUGGCAAUGCUUUAGAGAACUAUCUGAUCUGUUUCAGAAUGUGAGAUCAAUUGAGAUCCAGUGGCAAUGCUUUUGAGAUC